AGAGUUUGAUCCUGGCUCAGAUUGAACGCUGGUGGCAGGCCUAACACAUGCAAGUCGAGCGGUAGAGAGAAGCUUGCUUCUCUUGAGAGCGGCGGACGGGUGAGUAAUGCCUAGGAAUCUGCCUGGUAGUGGGGGAUAACGUCCGGAAACGGACGCUAAUACCGCAUACGUCCUACGGGAGAAAGCAGGGGACCUUCGGGCCUUGCGCUAUCAGAUGAGCCUAGGUCGGAUUAGCUAGUUGGUGAGGUAAUGGCUCACCAAGGCGACGAUCCGUAACUGGUCUGAGAGGAUGAUCAGUCACACUGGAACUGAGACACGGUCCAGACUCCUACGGGAGGCAGCAGUGGGGAAUAUUGGACAACGGGCGAAAGCCUGAUCCAGCCAUGCCGCGUGUGUGAAGAAGGUCUUCGGAUUGUAAAGCACUUUAAGUUGGGAGGAAGGGCAGUAAAUUAAUACUUUGCUGUUUUGACGUUACCGACAGAAUAAGCACCGGCUAACUCUGUGCCAGCAGCCGCGGUAAUACAGAGGGUGCAAGCGUUAAUCGGAAUUACUGGGCGUAAAGCGCGCGUAGGUGGUUUGUUAAGUUGGAUGUGAAAUCCCCGGGCUCAACCUGGGAACUGCAUUCAAAACUGACUGACUAGAGUAUGGUAGAGGGUGGUGGAAUUUCCUGUGUAGCGGUGAAAUGCGUAGAUAUAGGAAGGAACACCAGUGGCGAAGGCGACCACCUGGACUAAUACUGACACUGAGGUGCGAAAGCGUGGGGAGCAAACAGUAUUAGAUACCCUGGUAGUCCACGCCGUAAACGAUGUCAACUAGCCGUUGGAAGCCUUGAGCUUUUAGUGGCGCAGCUAACGCAUUAAGUUGACCGCCUGGGGAGUACGGCCGCAAGGUUAAAACUCAAAUGAAUUGACGGGGGCCCGCACAAGCGGUGGAGCAUGUGGUUUAAUUCGAAGCAACGCGAAGAACCUUACCAGGCCUUGACAUCCAAUGAACUUUCUAGAGAUAGAUUGGUGCCUUCGGGAACAUUGAGACAGGUGCUGCAUGGCUGUCGUCAGCUCGUGUCGUGAGAUGUUGGGUUAAGUCCCGUAACGAGCGCAACCCUUGUCCUUAGUUACCAGCACGUCAUGGUGGGCACUCUAAGGAGACUGCCGGUGACAAACCGGAGGAAGGUGGGGAUGACGUCAAGUCAUCAUGGCCCUUACGGCCUGGGCUACACACGUGCUACAAUGGUCGGUACAGAGGGUUGCCAAGCCGCGAGGUGGAGCUAAUCCCACAAAACCGAUCGUAGUCCGGAUCGCAGUCUGCAACUCGACUGCGUGAAGUCGGAAUCGCUAGUAAUCGCGAAUCAGAAUGUCGCGGUGAAUACGUUCCCGGGCCUU
rnacentral:rRNA from 1 species